AGAGUUUGAUCAUGGCUCAGGACGAACGCUGGCGGCGCGCCUAACACAUGCAAGUCGAACGGAGCUGAGAGGAGCUUGCUUUUCUUAGCUUAGUGGCGAACGGGUGAGUAACGCGUGAGUAACCUGCCCUGGAGUGGGGGACAACAGUUGGAAACGACUGCUAAUACCGCAUAAGCCCACGGUGCCGCAUGGCACUGCGGGAAAAGGAUUUAUUCGCUUCAGGAUGGACUCGCGUCCAAUUAGCUAGUUGGUGAGGUAACGGCCACCAAGGCGACGAUUGGUAGCCGGACUGAGAGGUUGAACGGCCACAUUGGGACUGAGACACGGCCCAGACUCCUACGGGAGCA
rnacentral:rRNA from 1 species